CAUUACCAUAAUUUUGCUCACGACCUUGCCUCGCUCGCAGGACCGAGGCUUGAUAAUUCCUGGAAGGAGUACUGGGAAGCUUCCAGGAAUAUUAAAGGUAUUAACCUUGUAAAUAUCUUUAAAUCUCCACCGUAAAGACAGCAAUUUACAUAGUGUGUACCUUAACACAAUCGUUUUUUGGCCGAAUUUGCUGUGUUAGUCACACACGGCAUACAGCCACAAACAAAGAUUGAUUGAUUGUA